GACUACCGGGGUAUCUAAGCCCGUUCGCUACCCUAGCUUUCGCCUCUCAGCGUCAGGUGCAGGCCAGAAAGCCGCCUUCGCCACUGGUGUUCUUCCCGAUAUCUGAGCAUUCCACCGCUACAUCGGGAGUUCCACUUUCCUCUCCUGCCCUCUAGUCGCUCAGUAUUGGACGACCUCUCUCAGUUAAGCCGAGAUCUGUCACGCCCAACUUGAACAACCGCCUACUUGCCCUUUACGCCCAGUGAUUCCGGAUAACGCUUGCCUCCUACGUCUCACCGCGGCUGCUGGCACGUAGUUAGCCGAGACUUUUUGCUGUGGUACUGUCCUUCCUCAUCCCACAGUAAAGGGUUUUACAACUCGAAAGCCUUCAUCACCCACGCGGCGUUGCUGCAUCAGGGUUUCCCCCAUUGUGCAAUAUUCCUUACUGCAGCCCCCCGUAGG
rnacentral:rRNA from 1 species